UACGGAGGAUGCAAGCGUUAUCCGGAAUUAUUGGGCGUAAAGCGUCCGUAGGUGGUGGUGCAAGUCAGCUGUUAAAGCGUGGAGCUUAACUCCAUAAGGGCAGUUGAAACUGCGCCGCUAGAGUGCGAUAGGGGCAAGGGGAAUUCCCAGUGUAGCGGUGAAAUGCGUAGAUAUUGGGAAGAACACCGGUGGCGAAAGCGCCUUGCUGGGUCUGCACUGACACUGAGGGACGAAAGCGUGGGGAGCGAAACAGG
rnacentral:rRNA from 1 species